AUUGAACGCUGGCGGCAUGCUUUACACAUGCAAGUCGAACGGCAGCGCGGGGCAACCUGGCGGCGAGUGGCGAACGGGUGAGUAAUAUAUCGGAACGUACCCAGAAGUGGGGGAUAACGUAGCGAAAGUUACGCUAAUACCGCAUACGAUCUACGGAUGAAAGUAGGGGACCGCAAGGCCUUAUGCUUUUGGAGCGGCCGAUAUCUGAUUAGCUAGUUGGUGAGGUAAAGGCUCACCAAGGCGACGAUCAGUAGCUGGUCUGAGAGGACGACCAGCCACACUGGAACUGAGACACGGUCCAGACUCCUACGGGAGGCAGCAGUGGGGAAUUUUGGACAAUGGGCGCAAGCCUGACCCAGCAAUGCCGCGUGAGUGAAGAAGGCCUUCGGGUUGUAAAGCUCUUUUGUCAGGGAAGAAACGGUAGAGGCUAAUAUCCUUUGCUAAUGACGGUACCUGAAGAAUAAGCACCGGCUAACUACGUG
rnacentral:rRNA from 1 species